rnacentral:lncRNA from 1 species
AUUGGUGACUACACAUGUGUCACCCUCCCCAUGGGUGGCUCAGAUCAUAGAGACAAAUUGUACUGAUUCUGGCCUUUGUUACAGGCCAAGUACAAAUGGAGUAGAGGCUGUCUCACUCAGAGAAGAGCAGAGCACAGUCCCAACCCUCCUCAGUUUCUUCAUCAGCAUGACAAGGACAAUGCUGUCUACUCUCCAGACUGUCACAGAGAUGAAAUGAAUGACAACAGAACAUCUUGCGGUGGCUGCUUCCAUCAUCUUAAAGAGACAAGGGACAUGCCAUUUUCUACUGACAGCAAGCUUUGACCUGACAUUCAUUUCUCAAGGGUUCUCCCAGAUGGAUGUAGGACAUGGAUUGCUCUCUGGGUCCCUCCUGAUGUAGGCACACUGUCUCACUGUUCUGGUCUUCCCAGGACCUUCAGCCACCAAACUGUCAAGGUCAAUCAGGCAGCAGGGAUGAGAAGGCUUCAUGAAGAGGUCUACCAAGCACUGUUCUGGGUGCAGAAGACAUGCGGCCUGGGUGGUGCUGCAUCAGCCCAGAUGGAUUUCUAGAGUGCUGGGUCUGGCCAGGGCUGGCUGUGGCACCAGAGGAGAGAGACAGUGCCAGACCCAUUUGGAGCUGAGAGCAUCGAGCCCACCCUGCCCGCCCUGCUCAAGCCUUCCAUGACUGCGCUGCAGCUAGGCAUUACCUUAGUCUAUUGACACCAGGCUCCUGUGACUGACACUGCUGGCUUUUGCUGGGGGAACUUACCUAGCCACAUUGGACAGAUCCAAGUGCUUCUGAACCUCCAGCAGAACCUCCCGGAAGAAGCGCAGGCGCUUCUCUUCAAACUGCUGGCACUGCUCGAACACCUGCUCCAUGUUCUCCAUGUACUGGGGUGUGGUCUGAUCAAGCUCCUUCAGGGACUUCUCAUACUUGUCCUUGGUCUGGGUUGACAAUGCCACAGACAGACGUUUGUUUCCAUCUCACUUUUGUUUACUGCAUAGGCCGUGUGGCUCUCUCCUCCCCCAUAGACAGAGGUCACAUGAAACCUGAAGUUCAUGGAUUCAGCUACACAGGUUGGCCAGCAACUGCUCAGGAUCCUCUAGUCUCUGUUUCAUUGAACUGAGAUUACAGGGAUCUCAGUUUGUUUAAAGAUAGCCAGAAAAGGGAGAACGCUCUGAAGUGAAUGACCCACCUCUCAACCAAGAAUUUGCUUGCUCCAACGACACUCCAUGACUGAGUGACCUCUCUCAAGGCUUCCUUUCUGCUGAGGAAAUGGUCAUCCUACGGCAUCCUCAGGCCCUCAGUAGCUGUCACUCUCCUGUGGAUGACAAAGGAGCACUGCAACAGGAGACCAGGGAUCUUUGCCACUGGCAGUUUGGUGUCAUCAAGGAAAGGGGACAGAAGCUCAUGCAGCCUGUGCUUACCAGGGCAGUGUCAUCCCAGGAAGCCCACAUCUGUAAGCUACUAAGACAACUUGACACUUUACACUCAUAAUGAAGGCUCAAGAACCACACCUGCUCCCUCUCAUCCCUGGAAGAGGAAAGCAUCUGUCAGCAGAAGGCUGGCAACGUCCCUCCAGGGUCCUGAUGAUCUCACAGGGAACUUUCU